AAACCUUUUGUCGGCCAGCUCAGGGACAAGCUACACUAUUCGCAUCCCUCAUUAACAAUCAAACUGCUGAAUGACAGGUGUUGGGCGUAGCUUUAUAGUGCACCACGGAGAAGGUGAAAGGUAAGUCCACGACCUUAAAAGGCAGGGAGUGGACAGGCAGGAGAGGGAGAACUGAGUAUUUUCUUUUCUAUUAUAAUUUUGGGCUCCGAAGGAGAACUUUAAUACACCGCGGUCAUACGUUUUGCCAUAGCAUUCCAAUUACCUACAGAAGGUUUUGAUGUCACGACAGCUGGAAAAGCGAAGGAGAGGGACCAUGCACUCAGGGGUAUUUACGAGGGUGCUGAUACUGUCAGUUGUCACUGAUCCUAUCCCAGCUCAUAAACCCUGAGGUCUUCACUUUGGUGGUCCCUCAUGGUCCGAUCUUGACCCGGAUAAACGACCUCCCUCUCCCUACCUUGUGAACUCUCACCUCUCUUCAGUGCAGAGCCGUUGGAGGUGCGUUGGUACCGGCCUGGUAACUUCAACCGACCUGCCUUGUUAUAAAAGGACCACAGCAUCCAGGCAUCUAUGGACCCCCGUUACAGGAGCAGGGUGUCUCCAACUGGGGGGCUGGAGAGAGGGAACGUGUCCCUGACACUGGAGAGGGUCACACUGGAAGACAGGGGGGAGUAUGUGUGCCGUGUCAGCAGCGAACAGUGGUAUGAAAAGGCCAGUGUGUCCCUCACACUGAUUGUAUUAGGUGGUAUCCCUGUUUUGUCUCUUGCUGAAGCAAGAGGAGGAGGAGGCCAGGUGAACAUCACCUGUCCAUCAGUGGGCUGGUCACCUCAACCUAAACUCACCUGGAAAAACAAAGGCGCAGAGCUCAGAAAUGUACAAGAAGUACUCUACACACAUGAUUCUCAGGGCUUGUUGAGUGUCAGUAGUUGGCUGCUGUAUUCUCCCUCAGACUCCGAUUGGCUCUCCGAUUGGCUCUCCGAUUGGCUCUCCUGUACAAUCUCCCUGUCUGAGGAGGAGAGAGAGAGAGAGAGAGAGAGAGAGCAGAAUCCUGCCACAGAUAUACCAGCCUGGUGAAUGAGUGUCCUACAGACAGCAUUCACACAUUCAGAUCCCACUUACUUCCCAUCCCAGAAAUGAUCUGCUGUAAGAGGACUGUGAACAUGCUGAAGAUGUGUCUCUAUCGUUCUAUCUUUCCGCCUUAUGAGCGCUUAUGAAUUUGAUUUUCCUGUGUGCAGAAGCCUGGAGAGAAGCAUUUAUUGCAUAUUUGGUCCUGUCUCUGCUCCUCCUCUCUGCUCUCGCAUCUGUGGUCAUCAUGCUGGGCAAACAAAGAAGUAUAUAAUAGUCUCUGGCAUGGCUGUCGUCACAAAAAAAAGGCAAAGGCAGCCCAGCAGAAGUUGAGCUUGAGCAGAGGCCAGAUACAAGGCACCUAAUUGAAGAGGCAGGACACAUCGAUGAGAAACAACCUGUUGAAAAAGUUAAAAAUCGAAAGUUAAGUAAAGUUUACUUGAAUCUAAUGUUCCUAACAAUGUGAAUCUAAAUUGUAUCAUCUCAGUGUUUUCCAUUGACUUCGUAUUUGCUUUUAUGCAGACUGGCUCCAGGUGAAAGUAUUCAAAGAACGUCACCAUGGAUGUCCAGACUCCUUCCCUUGCUUUUAAAGUGAGUGAAAAAGGGAAAAAAAAGGCUCAGUUCAGCGCAGGAGAAGAUAAAGAUUACUCAAACAGGCAUCCCCAUGUGUUGGGUAAAGAGCGUUUUGACUCUGGACAGCACUACUGGGAAGUGAAGGUGGGGGGGUCAUUUUACAGAAACGAUGUCAUGGUAUAUCGGUGUGGCCAGAGAAAAUGCUGAGAGAACAUUCUGUCAUUCCUUUAACUCCUCAGUAUGGUUUCUGGAUUUUAUUUUCUGGAAAUGUUUCCAUGUAAAAAAAACAACUAACCCUCCAAAACAAGUAGCUGUGGCAGAAUAUCUUUCCAUAGUAGGAGUGUUUCUAGACGGUGACAGGCAGACUCUGGUCUUUUUAUAAUGUUGAGACACAGUCACAUCUCUACACUUUUACUGAUGAGGUAUCAAACGACUUUCUCCCUGUGUUCAGCCCUGGAAAAAGUGAUAAACGUGUUUUGUUGAAUAAAUACUAAGAUGACGGUUAAAAUACGUCAAAUGAGG